UGUCAUGAUAGCAUGUACUGAGUCGGGGCCAGUACCAGAUAAGCACAUUAAACUAUAAUCCAUAAACGUAAGGUAACAACAGAGAACUAAUGGUGCUGUGACAGCAACACGAUUGAGUUUGAGACAGUAAAAAUACAUAUGGUAUGUUGUAUCUGAACAGGUUAGCUUAUGAGCUAAAGUUACUUAGCACAGAUGAAAGUUAAAACAAAGACGUUUAUCAAACUGUUAAAGCACACAAACCAUCGUCAUAUGAGAAAUCCGACGCUAUGACUCUCCACAAGUUGUCCUUCAGGUCGUUAUCUUUGUAAUAUUUGUGUUUUUUAUCAAAAAGCACUCUGUUCUCCGACACGUAAACAAUCAGCCAGCCAUGUUGGAUAUACCGGUGAUUCAGACGUCGCAACAACACAAAAUCUUAUUGGUCCGAAGUAGAUACACAGUAUGCGAAACUUUAGAAAAUUCGACCGUGAUACGAAAAAUGAAUGUCGCAAUAUCACAGGUCAGGAAAACGUCACUGAUGUGAACGCUUGUAUUGACAGGAUACGGGUUUAAAAAUAUAUAUAUAUUGACAUCCGACAUAAUCACCCGAAAAAAGCGCUUUGUGUUCUUUUAUUGGAGAGAGCCAAUAUGGAAGUUUUUCUGGUACCAGAAAAUAAACUGUUUCUUCAAAAUUUUAAAAGCUGAGUUCAAAAUUUAAACAGUGUGAUGUCAAAAGUAUUUUCUUUUAGGGAAAUGCUUAAAAAAAACAAAUGUUAAAAACCUUUCAGUGCAAGAAAUACAAGAAAACAACAUCACUGAGUCAUUUCCGGAUGUGGAAAAUCUUUAUUGUCCCAAAGCAGCAGUUUGUUCUGCAACAGCAGUCCACACAUGAAUCAUACAACAGCACUGGAAAUACACAAAAUAACAAACAGUAGAGGACCUGGUUCGUCUAAAGGAGAGAUUUGGGAAAACAUUGGCAUACUUGUUCACAGUAAUAGUGGGAUACUGGUUUGUUUAUGAGUGGUAGGUACUGUUAGGUCUAAUGUUUGCAUAGAAAGCAUGUCCUCUGUCAUUACCCCAUGGUGCAGGAAUAAAUAAUAGAUUUCGAUCAGCUGUUCCAGAGUUUCUAACUGCUGCUAAAUCUGGCGAUGGCACCAGUUGAUGAUAUUGAGCAGCUAUCACUGGGAUGAGCAGCUCAGCAUCUGCUGCUGUCUGGGGACUGUGACAGCAGAAUGGAUAGCUGGAUUAAAACAUUAGACAGCUGCUGAUGAAGGACCCUUAAUUAGAUGGUAUAAGAAUAUUUAUCAUAUUUGAGACGGGUGACAACAAUAGCCUGAUUACUUGUGGAGACACAGAGAUAAGGACUGCCCUUACCUGCAUACACGUGGACAUGGACUGAUUAAUUCAUAUUUCAGUCUAGAUGAAGAUGAGUCCAUACAGCCAAGACUAACACUCCAUCAUUACAUCAGAGGGUUGAUGUCCGCUUAGCCCUCCAAUCAGCCCCCCAUUCGGUUUAGAUGACACAUGGUUUGUCAGAUGUCAGAACAACAGUCAGAGCUCUGCAGGACCGACCGAGCGCACUCUGUCACAACACGUCAAACCCGCGCUCUGAUGGAAAUAAUGAGCGUUACAUGACAGGGAACAAGCAUCUGGAAGCUUCUUGAGUUUCUCCUGGAAAAUCUUAAGACUGGAUUGAAGAUAUCUGGAUCUAGAUGUUUUGUUUUCCCUCGAAUGCCUCUAAAAAAGUAAAGUUUUCCUGAUUUGAGGGUCUAAUCUUAUGAAUGCUAAUAUUUGUUUACAACAGUAGAUGACACCGUUUAUCUGUGAAGUGAGCAAACCCCCUUUGUGAAGAAGGGCCAAACUGGUGAUUCGAUUGAAGUUAGGAUCAAACUCAAAUGAUUGACGUCUAGUUGUGUGUGAAGAUUGUCAUAUUAUCAAGUGUUGGUAUCUGGCCAAUCUCCGAACAUUGAGACAUUGUUGCUAUGUUGAAACCGUGAGUUUAAUUUCUUUCGGCUUCUUCCCUCAGACUCAGUCAGCCCGUUUGGUGGGACAGAUGGCUCUGAAUCAAAGCCUCGCUUUCACUUUUUGAAUACUACUUUUGUCUCUCCAACUUUCUCACUUUGGUUUUCUCACUCGACGCCCUCUGACUGCCCAGCUGUCAAAACCCGAAUGAGUGAAGAGUGUAGACAGGACACCUGUUAGUGUUGAAAACUGAUCUCUUGUUUAUGGGAAGUUUAAAUCAAAAUUUCAAAAGAAAACUUCAAGAAGAUUAGAUUUAGACGUGAAAUUACUUAUAUUGUGGCACCCCGGGAAGAAAAAAAAAAUCAGAAUAUUUCUCCACAGUCUUUCUUUUGUGCAAAGAAAUGAUAUUUUCAUCUUUCAAAGAGGGUUGAUUAGUUUACAGUCAUCAGCAUCACACCAUCAUCCCACAAAGAAUAAAACAAAGUAUUUAUAAAAGUACUUAAGACACAAUUUGCAAGUCAUUUGGAUGCAUAGCAGUUAGCUAGAUUUAUUUCAAAAAGGCAGUGGAGGACUCACGCACAUAGAAAGAUGGAAAAGAUAAAUGUCUUAAAAAGUUGGAUUCAUUUUAUUGCUAGGAUCAAACAAAUAAGCAGAAAGCGUUUCAGUCGACUAUCAUAAGUGCAAUAGUGAGAGGUCAGUCUGACUGUGUCUUUGAGUUCUUCUCAGUCAGACUGGAGAGAUUAAUUAGACACACCUGGAGUCCUUAAUUGGAAACACCUGGAGCCCUUAAUUAGACACACCUGGAGCUUCUUACACAGAGCAGGUAAUUGAGCCAGGGUGUGGCCCAGGAUGCAUUGUGAUACAUGACAUCAUAGCAAUCUAAAACAAAUCCAAGUGGCUCACUAUGGACCCUGAAUCUGAAAUAAAGAAUAUUCUAUACUAUUCUAUUUACAUACUAAAGCCAUGGACCUACGGGUUAUUAUUUACAUCAAUGAAAACAUAUGAACAGGGAAUGGGUUUAGCCAGUGCAAACAGACAGUCAUAAAAAGCAAGCCAUUUCUAAUUCUUCAUUUAAACCAGUGGCCAGUAAAUAUCACAGGAUGGGAAAACAUCGCUAAUGUGAACGCUUGUAUUGACAGGAUACGGGUUUGAAAAAAAGUAUAGACGUCCGAAAUAAUCACACGACAAACACGGUCCCGGUGUGAAAGCACCUUAAAACGGCUGCAAAAAUGAGCACUGAAACACAUUAGUCAAGAGAAAACUCCAUCAGGUGAUGAUUAUAGCACGUGUCAGCAUGACCCUUAAAGCUGAUGAAAGACAACAUAAGAACAGAUUCAAUAAAUCAAGAGUCAAACAUUAAAAAAAAAAAAAAAAAAACAACACUUCACCAGUCAGGAGUUUUCCCUCUGAUAUCACAGAGGCCGAAAAUAACUUCACUCUGAACAAUUCCCAGCUGACUUGCUGUCUGAAGAGCUGCAUCCUCCUCUCUGAUCAAAACUAAACUCUCCCUCUUCUCUUCCUCUUCAUCCUAAUUUCCAUUUUUAACCUCUGCAGCCUGCACAGUACUACACAGGAGUCGCUUGAUUCUUCAGACACGCCUCAUAUUUGCACGGAGGAGGCGUCAGUUUGCCAAUGUUACGGAAUAAAAGCUCAGAAAUGCUGCAUUGUGCGUCCUCCUCUCAAACAAAACAUCACUAAUGAUCAGCUACUCAUUCAAUAAAUAAAUCCUCAGUACUGUGUUUUCCUGCACUAAUCAUUAUACUUAAUGUAGGAGCUCUUAUUGUAAGCCUGUGUUUUUAUUUUUGCAACAAAAGCAUUUCAGCUGCAGAUUAUUUCAGUCCUCUUCUGUGAAAUAAUGACGCUUAUGUAACUCCUUAUACCUCCACUCCUUUCAGCGCAUCCUAAUUGCCCUUAAAUCCCAGAUGUCCUUGCGUUUUUUUUUUUUUUUUCCCCCUGCAAAACAAUUAGUUUAAAUGGAGCUACUUGUUUUUGUAAAAGCAUGAUAAUGCACUGAAGUAUCAGAGGAUCAUAAAGCAUUAAAACACGAUUAUAUAAAAGGUUUUCUGAGGACUUUUCAAGAGGCUGUUAAUGUGUCUGAAAAAGAAGAGAAAGACACAAAUCUGAGGGCAGUGUGUGUGUGUUGGUGUGUCUCCAUGCUUGUUUGUUUUCUGUGCACGUGGCGUGCAGGCUGCUCUGAGGUAUUGACGUAUCGAGCUGUGGGCCUCGACCCGAGCCAGGCCACCAAAUUGAGUCAUCAUCAGUUUAACGCAUCUCUGAGGCCGAUCCUGCCGAGACAUCAAUAAUUUACCAGGAUGGGACAAUCAUUUUGGGACCGACCGGCGUAUCGAUAAACAUGUCUCUGGAGAAGAGCUAAAUGCCAAAUGUGUCGUCCUCAGAACAGCAGCUCAGACCGCCAGAGUCUCACAGGAGGACAGGAAAUUCAGCCGGCUGCGAGAUAACAACGGACAGGAUUUUCACUCUCCACAUUUCCACUCCUGCUGGGAUAAUGAAGCUGAAAUAAUCAAUGUUAAACGUUUUAGCAAUAAACCAAAAGACAAGAAGUGAUGUCAAAGCUGUCUAGUAACAACACAAGCAUUAGUUUCUCUCAGCUAGAAGUGUCAACUUUGCAGAAAUCUGAAGUUUAGUUGGAUUUUUUGGUUGAAACUUUAAAAAAGAUGUGCGAAUAAGAACCUAGCUGCACAGCUAAGAGUGCAUUUUUUUGCAAUCUCUAUAUUUAUCUACAAUUUUCAGAAAAAAAUAAGCAAAAAUUCUCAGUCUUUUAGAAUAGGAUGUUUAAUUAUUAUUAUUAUUAUGAUUAUUUUGUUUGCUUUUAAAAUAUGAGUCUAAAAAUCAAACAACCUGAAGGUCAUCAAUGUCUUUUUCACAUGCGCGGUCAAAUUUCAAGAUUCAAGAGCUUUUCUCUACACAUCCAAGAAAUGCACUGAAAUUAAAAAUGGCAACUCCUGCAGCAACCUGGACACCAAAGAGCAACCUGAAAUUCAAAUAAAACUAUAAUUAUUACAUUAUCUUGAUAGUUUUUGUAUAAAUGCAUUGAUUUAAUCUAGAUAAAGUAUUAAACCAAGAGGUGUGCAUUUAUGUUCAAAUGAGCACGUACAAGUUGGUGGUUUUAAGAUGCAUUAAUGUCUUCAUUGGUAGGGUUAGGGUUCAGUUGGACUAGACUGAUAUUUGCUGGAAAAAAUUAAAUCAAAUACAGGGACUUAAAAUCCUUGAAUGUAAAUCUGUGAUUCCUAAAGGAAGUGAGCUAAAAUCCUACUUGUUAACAGUGAAUCAAAUAUAAGUUGAAUAAACACAUUAAUGCAGAUUUAAAGCCAUUACUCCCUAAAUCUAAUUGUUUCUGUUUUACUGUGCUAAGUAGAAAAAGAGGAAACCUCUAUUUCCUCCCUUUAUUCACUCGUACUGUAUUUACUUGUAUAUUUCUACAUGGUCCAGAGUUUUUCAUUCACAUUUCCCACAAAUUCAGUUUGACAUUUUAUAUUUUGGCAGGCUUUUAGAAGUCUGGUGUUAUUUGCUGUGUUUGCAUAUCCCCCUGCAAUAAAAGUCCUACUAAAAGCUCCAGAAAAACACCAAAGUGUAACAGGUUAAUAAAUCUCUCAUUAUGACACCUUUUAAUCUAAACAUUAUCCUUUACUGUUAAUCCGUCCUUUAAACAGUGGGACAUAAAUCCACUCACUUCAUCCCGGUAACAAAUAAGCGUCAUGGUUGUUUCAGAGAAAUUAACAUGCACAGCUGAAUCUCCUAAACAAACCAAACUAAUGAUUUUUGGGGCUCACGCAGGCUGAGUUUGUUCCCCCGUGUGAGUUUAAAGGUGACCUUUGUGUUGUGGGACACACGCCGCUCUGCCACAGCUUGUGAUUAACAUCUGCACUCAGUCUGCACAGCUUGAGCACCAUUAGAGGGGAAAUAUGGAGACACAAUGAGCCAAAGUACAGCAGGUUUUUUAUUUUUAUUUUUUUAUACACCUGCAUAAGGUAACUCCACAAACUUUCCAUAGCUGAUACACAUACACUGAUACACUCAUGCAAGCACCACGUUUGGACAAGUUUUCAGCAAUAGAGCUGGAAUAAACACAACUGACUGACAUGCUACUGAUUUAUUGUUUCUGUUCAAAGAAACUAACAUUAACAACAUUUGCCAUAAUGUUCUUAAUGCAUGUAUAACUUUAUAUGCAGAUGAUGCAGUUACUUACUUCUCAGCUCCAACAUUGAAUCAGGUUCUCUCUUACAAGAUUCUUUUGACAGUGUUCACAAACUCAAAAACAAAGCUGCACCUGCUUGAUUUUAAGAUUUUAUUUUACUUUCUGUCCCCAGAGAGCAUCUUGAUACUGGGUUAAGGAGUCUAGGACUACAUUUACAUGUGCCCCGCACGGACAUUUCACCCUCUCCGUUUAUAAAAAAAACAAUAACUGUGUGCACACCACUACAUUUUCAGAAAAGUUCUUGUUUACUCUAACCCAUAUUUAUGAAGCUCAAGCCCACGUUAGCCAAUCAGAAUCCUGCAUAGCAGCAACAACAACAACAACAACGUCACUUCCUACUUUUGGAAAAGACAAUAUAAAGGGAUUUCCUUAGCAAAAAUGCGACUGCUAUUCUGCAUGCAUCCAUGAUCACCAUAGAUUGUAAACAUAGACUGUAAACAACGUCGCAUUUAACUCAGUUUUCGGUACACAAUCUGCCGUCGGCUACCGAAAUCUCUAUUUACCUCAGUUUUUCUUAGUUUUUUUUUAUGCGCUUGACUAUACAUAUCAAGCCCGAUGCGAUUUUGCAAACGGGGGGAAAAAAGACACGUCCUGGGUGAAAGUGAGAAGACUGACACAACAUCAGACUGACUGUUUUUCAGUUCUGAUUAGACUCUAGUGUUGAGUUGGCUGUUUGUCAUGAUAGCAUGUACUGAGUCGGGGCCAGUACCAGAUAAACACAUUAAACUAUAAUCCAUAAACAUAAUGUAACAACUGAGACCUAAUGGUGCUGUGACAGUAUCUGAACAGGUUAGCUUACAAGCUAAAGUUACUUAGCACAGAUGAAAGUUGAAACAAAGACAUUUAGCAAACUGUUAAAGCACACAAACUAUCGUCAUAUGAGAAAUCCGACGCUAUGACUCUCCAUAAGUUGUCCUUCAGGUCGUUAUCUUUGUAAUGUUUGUGAUUUUUAUCAAAAAGCACUCUGUUCUCCGACACGUAAACAAUCAGCUGGUCGGCCAUGUUGGAUAUACCGGUGAAUCAGACGUCGCAACAACACACAAUCUGAUUGGUCAGAAGUGGACACACAUAGUAUGCGAAACUUUAGAAAAAAUCGUCCGUGAUAUUAAAAAAUAAGUGCUGUAAUAUCGCAGGAUGGGAAAACGUUGCUGAUGUGAACGCUUGUAUUGACAGGAUACAGGUUCAAAAAUAAUAUUGACGUCUGUAAAAAAUCGCAUGAAAAAAACAGUCCCAUUGUGUAAGGACCUUAAGUUUUCCAAAAUUUCCACUCCAGCCGGAGUUUUUAAAAAGCAUCGUUUUCAGGGACAAAUUCACCGUUUCGGUCUAAAUGAAAGGUGCAAACGAUGGUUAAUAUCUCAGUUUUUAAAAAUUACCUGGGUUCGUAUAAACGGGACUGAGGUCCUCUGUUCCUGCAGCCUGGGAUCUCCUACAAGAAGCUUUGGGUCUCUCCAAAUGUUUCAAAAGUAGAAUUAUCCUGAUUCCUCAACAUGUAGGAUAGCCAAAUACACCAACUUGACUGUAAUAAGGCCAAGUGGGUCCUUUGUGUUCUUGUUUGAUGAACUGCCAUCAACCAAAGCACAGACUGAGGGACACAAUGGCACGACACCAAGUCAUUUAGCCAAACAAACAGGGUUUAAUGAAGUUCAGGCAAAGGUCGGUACACAAAAGACAAUCAGGUCAGGCAGAGGUAUUAAAAACUUGAGGCAAAAAAGGCAAGGUCCAAAAACACAGGCAAAGGUAAUACUGGGGUAUAAAUAACUAUGAAUAAAUACUAGAAUGAGACAAGAAGUGUAACGAACUGCCGACGAGACGAUGAGACACACAAGGUAAAAAGGUGGGAAAUAGGUGAGGAGACACAAUCAGGCGGCAGGUGUGACAAGACGGGGGCAGGGAAUGCAUGACAUGAAACGAAGCAUGAAUGUGCAAAAAUAAAGGAAACUUCACCAACAUGAAUGUACUGACAUGUACAAUUGAUGACAUUCAUUGCAGUAUUAAUCCAAGACUUUUUAAAAGGUGAGACCUCUUCACGUGGGUCCUUUCCUCCUUCCUUGUCUCUGUUGUCACCCCUCCACUACUACAGAGUGUGUAGACAAUCACGGCAGCGUUUUAAUUUGUCCCCUCGAUAUCUUAUUUGCCAAGGAGGGACCCUGGAGGGGCCUCGGCCCAAAAAGCACACAGUGUUAUUGAACCAGUCACAUAAAGGGCUCGGUAUUGAUGCAGACGGAGCAGAGGGGUGACAGAGAAGUAAAAGCUUGGCUUGGGGGGAGACAGAGGAGAUGAAGGUGGGAGGAAAAGGGAGGGAUGAAGGGUUUGAAGAGCGAGUUGCGCUGUGGGGAAGGAUGAGAGAGUUUCUACAAAGAGGAAGGAGAACAAGAUGGUGAACAAGACGACGCUCUGGUAAAAAUAGUGCCUGAAAGAAGAUUACCGCUGAUGUACUUGACUUUUCAAUUCUCAGGAAGGGGCUCACUCUUCAAAAACACCUUUUAAGUGAAUGCAUGAAUCCCAGAUCUUUGUGUUCUUUCCGGUUAGGUGAGGGACUACCUGCAGGUGGGGUAAGCUAGCUUUGGUAGACAUGCAGAGAGGUUUAUCUUUUCAUAAAGUUCAUUUAAAAGCUGCUGGUAGAGUGGGUUUGAGUGGCGCUGGAGAGAGGUGCUCAGCUGUUAGCCUAAUUCUGUUUCCUUUUGCUGAAGAGAAGCUUGCUAACUGGGGGAGGACGAUGUCUUAGUACAUCACAGUGUGAGCUACAUUAGAGCCUCUGAAGGAAAGUGAAAACAGCAGUGCAAUCAAAAACUCAAAUACCACUUCAUCUGCCCGAGCUUUGGGCUGUGUUACUUUUAACUUUUUACAAUCGAUCUCCUGAGAAUUUUGUGAAGCAUGAAGUCUAGCUUCCUCUGAGACAGUCAGCUGUAAUUCAGAGGAUUUUCUUGCCUAUGGAUUCAAAAAUCAGCUGAUUAGACUUCUAAAUUGUGUGACAAUUUAAAAUCCUGAUUUUUUUCUCUGAAAACUCGAUUUUCAAUUUCGAUUUUUUAUUCAGUGACAACUUCACCAAACUUCCCUUUAAAAAUAAAACUUUUUCUAUCAUUUCUCAAAACGAAACCACUGAAAGCGAUGUUAUGCACAUGCCAAGCCAGUAAGUGGCGCUGUAACGGUGUUCAGACACCAGCACAAAGGACAGAAAAAGAGUACAGAGCAUGUGUAUAAUGUAGGACCGGGCGAUUAUAUGAUCGUGAUUGAUGAUAAAUCGUGAUAAAUUUCAGUUUAAUUAUGGUGAUCAGCUGUGAGCAUAUUUACUCGAUCAAACAUAGCGGAAAUGUGCGUCCAAUCAGAGUCAAGCUGUUCCUGCUCACUUCUGUAAUCUGCUGGUGAAGUCAACAGAAUGACGUAACGUGAGGCUAAACGCGGAGCGGAGAGCAGCAAAAUAUAUGGCAGUCAAGACUUUUAGUCAUCCUUCAACGAUGUUAUUAGUGAGAUGUUGUUCAACGUCGGUUGUGUUGCGGUGGUUCGGGUAUCUCCAAAGUGACGUCGAGUAAUUAAGCUGAUGUGUAAGGUAUGUCAGCAGUCGGUGUCCUCAAAAACUGGCAACACAACAGAUCUGUUUAAUCAUUUAAAGGAGCACUUCCUGAGGGAUUAUGCGGAAAGCAUGAAAACGUGAGCGGAGUCUGCACAGCCUGUCACCGCUAACGGUACGAGAAGCGUUUUCUUUUGCAAACGCCAUGUUUGUUCACACUGGUGUGUGUGGGAACUGGGGAGCGCUCCCGCAGGACCCCUGGUGAGCCCUGGAGGUGCGAGGUGAUAGAGAGGAAAAUUGAUUUGACGAUUUUGAUUUUUUUUCAUCAUAAUUAAAUCAUCUGAUUAUGAUUUAAAUUAUGAUUUAAAAUGCAGCCCUAAUCUUAGAGCAACAUAAAGUAAUCAUGUAGGCUCCAUUAUUACUAAGAAAUUUGUAAAAAAAAAAAAAAAAAAAUUAAAAAAAUGGACUGCACACAUAACAUUUUCUCUCAGACAUCUAAUCAAACACAGCAGCUUGUUCAGUAGCUCCACAUGCCAAAAAAAGGCCCUGAAGUGUUGGUCAGCCAGUUAGAAUGGCUGUGAAAUAAGACAAGAAAACGUGCCCCAUCUGUAGAUUUUUCCAGAACAGAGAAGCUAGAUAAACAGAUAUAAAAAGGCAUGUGUGAGGUUUGAGUUUAGCUGCUAAGAUUGUGCGUAAAGCGAUUAGAUAUCCAUGUAUUCAAAGCAGAUUUUUAUUUUCUGUUCCCUGUUGUCUGAGCUCAGGAUUGCAUUCAAAAACAGCACCAUAAAAGCUUCUAUUUUGUUGUAGUUUGUGCACAGCUGUAUGUAUAUCACAAAUGCUUUCUUGACUGUCUAUGUCCAUGGACAUUUUAGUUGUCUCAGUUUUGCAGGUGGACCUUGAAACUCUCCAAACCUUGAGGAAUAUCACAUGUCCCAUGCUCAUUUGAAAAUAAGUGCACCUGAUUAGCCAGAACAGGGAGUCAGGUAAAAAAAAAAAAAAAAAACAGGCUCCAAUCCUUUCGUUUGAGCCAUUCACUUCAGCAGAAAGCCAUUAAAGCGGACAAGUUGCUGACUCAACGCCAGCCUGAAUCACCCAGGUAAAGCCUUAGCCGUCUGUUUCGUUUUAUAGGACAGAUACAUCAGUUUAAGCAGGUAGAGACCAAUCAAAGCUCUGACAGACGAGCACGCGCAGCCAAGUGCUGACAGGAGAUACCUGAUCAUGAGCAUCACAGAGCCAAGUUUGAUAAUCAUCUCCUUCAUAUUUGCCUGCUAUUAACUUAGAGAAAACUUUAUCUGAAAACAUCCAAAUCAGCCGGUAUGUCAAAGACCAUGUACAAGACUGCAGUUCAAGAGGACUCACUUCAGGCGUCCGCUCUAAUUAAGAGUAACUUUUAUUAAACUGUAAAAAUAUGUCAUGAGCUUAUGUCCAAGUUUCAUAAUGUUUUUAGAUAGAACAACUCACCCAAAACAAUAGGCGUCUCGCUGCACGCAAUUCACCAGAGGUGACGAAAAUGUGCGAGGGGGUGCCGGGCAUUAAUGCGAAGGAAUUCCUAUGACACAUUGUCAGUAUGUUUGUCGAACAGAACAACACCCAGGUAUUUAGUAUUCAUCACCCGACUAUAAUCACCUUUAUCACCUCUUCUCAGUCUGCUGCAACCUCUGGCCAUAAUUUCCUGGCAUUUUUACACUGAAAAGGUCCUUACACAACGGGAGCAUUUUUUCGUGCAAUUAUUUCGGACGUCAAUAUUUUUUUCGAACCCGUAUCCUGUCAAUACAAGCGUUCACAUCAGCGAGGUUUUCCCAUCCUGCGAUAUUGCGACAUUUAUUUUUUUGUCUCACGGUCAAAUUUUCUAAAGUUUCACAUACUGUGUGUCCACCUCUGACCAAUCAGAUUGCAUGUUGUUGCGACGUCAGAUUCACCGGUAUAUCCAACAUGGCCAACCGGCUGACUGUCGGAGAACAGAGUGCUUUUUGAUAAAAAACACAAACAUUACAAAGAUAACGACCUGAAGGACAACUUGUGGAGAGUCAUAGCGUCGGAUUUCUCAUAUGACGAUGGUUUGUGUGCUUUAACAGUUUGCUAAACGUCUUUGUUUGAACUUUCAUCUGUGCUAAGUAACUUUAGCUCAUACGCUAACCUGUUCAGAUACAACAUACCAUAUGUAUUUUCACUGUCUCAAACUCAAUGGCGUUGCUGUCACAGCACCAUUAGGUCUCGGUUGUUACCUUAUGUUUAUGGAUUAUAGUUUAAUGUACUUAUCUGGUACUGGCCCCAACUCAGUACAUGCUAUCAUGACAGACAGACAUCUCAACAUUAGUGUCUAAUCAGAACUGAAAAACAGUCAGUCUGCUGUUGUGUCAGUCUUCUCGCUUCCACCCGGGACGUGUCUUUUUUUCCCCCCAGAGAGUCGCAAAAUCACAUUGCGCUUGAUGUGUAUAGUCAGACGCGUCAAAAUUCGCCUCUGAAUAUUUCGUAAUUUCACGUCGUAUAUUUGCGUCGUUCCCUGUGUGUAAGGACCUUAAGACUGCGUUCACACCCACCGUGGACCGGACCAUGGUUCGUUUGGAAGAGAACUGAGUUCAGCAUUUUCAAGAGGACCACGGUUUGUUUAUUUGAUCUGGACCACAGUUUGCUUGCGUGUUCAUACCACCUAGACUGAAAGAGUUAGGAGACCACGGUCCUUUUAAAAUGAACCAAACAGUCCUGAUGUAAAUGCGCCCUUAAAGGUGUUGCCAUGAAAUAUCAGCGGAUAAGAUGAUAAGAGGAAUGGUGCUCCAAAAAUCCUCAACACUUGUAGUCCCAUUCUGUUAUGGUCCAAAUAUAACCCCCUUAAAAUGAAUGUAUCACAAGCCUGGGCCUAUAGAUAAAAAAUCAAUCAUCACCAGAAUAUUUGAGAUUCAUCUUCUGGGUGAAAAUAACAGCUGCAUCAUUUUCAUACCAAUCCAAGCAGUAUUUGUCUGAAAAUUUAUCCUAAAAUAUUUAGCCCAUGUGCAGACUUUCAUAAAUCUAGGGCCCUUUACAACUACCAAGCUAAGGUGACUAUCUACGCUUGAACCUGGAGCAUCCUUCCUUUAAAGAACCUUUCUUGUGUCCAUGACGCAAUCAACAUAAUCAGAUCAACAUCUCUCAGACACGCAGUCAUCAUUUCUCACGGCAUCUUUCAAACACAAUCCAUCCACUCUCCUCUUCUCUCGGAUAUCGAUUAUGAAUUUUGAGUCUGAGGUGAAUAAGCGUGCAGUCUGUAAAGUGGUGAGGCAUUAUUCCUGCAGUAAAAGCAUGCUAAGAACCUGAGGCAUAAGCGUGUAAAAGAAUCUCCCAAGGACACUGAAACUAUUACUUUACUCCCACCAAAUCACCAGUUACCCUUUCUUUCCAUUAGAGAGAAGUAAUUAUUCACUCCACCGUGGCAAUCUCACAGCUGUAUGAAGAUAUUACAUUUUAGUCCUAACAAGAUGCAUUCAGACUUUUAUGCAUCCUCUUCUCCCUCGGAGGAGGACACUGGUUUGAAAUACUCGUCCACAAAGUGAAUCAAUAUCUAAUUACAAGCCGCACAUUACGCUGCUUCGACGGGGGAAUGCACAGAGGCCUUCCCUUCCGCCUUAAACCCAGGGUUCAAUAACACCUUGUAGAUUAUUUCUUCAGCCAUCAUUUGCAUGCUGCCCCAGUAAUGGCCCCUCACUUUGAGAAUCUAUUACCAUUUUUUGCCUUAAAGUCAGCACUUUUCCGAGGAUGGAGAUUUGUCUUGCCGCGGUCCAUCACUCAGCCUAAGCUACGUUCGAUUUACACCACCAAAAAGGUAAUAACGUCGCUGCUGAAGGUGUGUUUGUCUUGCAGAAAUUUAAGUGCUAUUCUCUGGCUCCAAUUGUUUAACAGAGGCAGGAUUUUGUAAGGAGGAAGUGAAUCACCAAGACCCAUCUGCACUUACACUGGAUGUAAAGAAGCCAUAACUAAUGUCCUUUUUAAAAGAGCAGACCCAGGAGGAUGAUUCACUCCCGGCUCUGCAUUGGUCUUAAAACGGAAUAACGCUAAAGAUUGAACUUCCAGGAAGGAGAAGAAAACUCAAGGGGAUGGAGGACAAUUACUCCAAUUAACAUAAUGCAGGAAUCAAGGAUUAAUCCUGUCAUUUCCCAUUUCCUGUUCGCUUUUACUGUGUGUGGGAUUGUGGCGCAUAUAAAGCCACUCUCUUACAGCGAGCCUGAGGUGAUGAGCUAAAGAGAAAUUGCUUGUGAAUGGGCCUGACCAGACGGCGAUCAGCAUAUUCCCACAGGGUGUUGGCUGUCAGUCCAUGGGGGGAUCACUCUUACAGCUGCUGGUCUAAUUAAACAGUCGGGGGGAGCGGUGACACUGGAUAUAAUAGAGUUCACUAAGCACUUCUUAGAAAAUAGACCAGAUGUUUGGAGCAUGAGUCAUGUUAAAGCACACUUUUUAGGGAGCAGGACUGCUUGAGCACUGAGGGACAAAUCUCCAAAUAACUCUCACCAUAUUAUAUAUAGAACAUAUUCUCACAUAACACUCAAUUUAACACUGAUUACACUUUGAGGGUCUGUGCAGGGGAGCAGAGAACUUCAACUUAGACUGUAAGAGAGAGUUUAUACGCAAGAGGAUUAGGGCCACUAGAAAAAAAAGAGAAAAGGCCAAUAUAGAUAUUUUUUUAUUAUUAUUCUGACAUAAAAGUCAGAAUUCAUAGAUUAAAGGCAGAAUUCUGACUUCAGUCCUUACACACUGGGAACAGUGCAAAUAUACGACAAGAAAUUCCGAAAUAUUCAGAGGCGAAUUUUGACGCGCCUGACUAUACAAAUCAAGUGCGAUGUGAUUUUGCAACGUCCGGGGGAAAAAAAACACGUCCCGGGUGGAAGUGCGAAGACAAAAAUGAAGUCUACUUCAACUUCAAGUGAUGGCAAAUUGGUACUCCUUUUAAAAUUAUUAUUAGACUGACUGUUUUUCAGUUCUGAUUAGACACUAGUGUUGAGAUGUCUGUCUGUCAUGAUAGCAUGUACUGAGUCGAGGCCAGUACCAGAUAAGAACAUUAAACUAUAAUCCAUAAACGUAAGGUAACAACCGAGACCUAAUGGUGCUGUGACAGCAACGCAAUUGAGUUUGAGACAGUGAAAAUACAUACGGUAUGUUGUAUCUGAACAGGUUAGCUUACGAGCUAAAGUUACUUAGCACAGAUGAAAGUUAAAACAAAGACGUUUAGCAAACUGUUAAAGCACACAAACCAUCGUCAUAUGAGAGAGCUGACACUAUGACUCUCCACAAGUUGUUAUAUUUGUAAUGUGUUUGUUUUUUAUCAAAAAGCACGCUGUUCUCCGACACGUAAACAAUCAGCUGGUCGGCCAUGUUGGGUAUACUGGUGAAUCUGACGUCGCAACAACACGCAAUCUGAUUGGUCAGAAGUGAACACACAGUAUGCAAAACUUUGGAAAAAUCGACCAUGAUCCGAAAAAAAAAAAGUUGCAAGAUCCCAGGACAAACAAACUUUUUCUCUAUAUUCUGUUCUCCAAGAAUGUUGGCAUGCUCAGAUUGUUACUUUCAGUGUGUGAGAACAUUAGAGAAAUGAUUCUCACAGUAACAGAUCACAGAAUAAAACGCUGAGACAUCCCCAUCUUCAAAGCCACAGAUUUCAUUAGACGCUUCUGAAUUUGUUUGAUUUGUUCAUUAUUGAUCUUUUGCCCCCACCUGGACACCAAGAUGGUACUAACAUAAUUGUUGUCCACAAUUUCUCCACCAUAAUCUAAAAAUCCAACCAUGAUUUUCUCCUGCUUUGCUGCAGGGUGUACCUGCAGGCCCAGCAAAGCCGUCACAGCCAUAUUUUAUAAGCUGAAAUUUUGGAGGGGAGGCAGAGGAGGAUCACAGCCAUAAUUCUGAUUCAUUGAAGUACCAUUUUGGCUCUCAAGGGUCAAUUAAUACCCAACACAUGCUCCCCACCUCACUGUAGACAUGUGUAUCUAGCCAAUCCAGCCUCUUGUGCUGGUUUAAUGCUCGACUGUGUUGGAUUGAGCAGAUGAGCAGAUGGCCGGCUGCAUUUCUACAUGUUUUACAUGAGUUUUAUGAUACAUUGUCUUCUAUUCAUGAGUGAACUCACAUAGAAAAUAAAUAAAUAAAUAAAUAAAACACAGACAGAAAGAAACAAACCACAUUCCACAAAGCUCUGUAGUAGAAUAUUUUGUAACGUGUUGUAAAUUUGCGUCAGUCCCGAUGUGUAAGGACCUUAAGUGUAAAGGAAAACUUUUCUGAAAACGUAGUAGUGUGCACACAGUUUUUUUCUUUUUUUUGUAAAAAGAGAGGGUGAAAUGUCCUUUUAUGAAAAUAGCCGGGCACGUGUAAACAUAAUCCAACAUUCAAACAUCUUUAGAUGGAAGGCGCCCUAGCUUUGCAACUUUUGUAGGGUCAAGGUCGGGUCAAUCCAUUUCUAUGACCUUGUGCAUACAUACAGCUCUCUUUGAACGCUCUCCCUGUGCGAUAGCACACGUUAAAACACGUCAGUUCAUUCAAGUUUUUUGUGCAGUUUGGCAUUGCACAAUCAAACAAGCCCUUUAAAUUGACAGGCCUGUGGCAAAGGUGCAACUUACACCAGAACCAUUACCAUCAUGUGCACUUUAGCGCUUUAAAACUCUGGAACUUCACCACUUGUCGUAUCAUCUCUAAUGCACUCUCACUCUAAAUUCAGCUUUGCUCCUGGUUUGUCCAGAGAGUAUUUUGCAGCCAUUCUCGUACUUUUAAUUCAAUUUCACUUCAUGCCUAAUGUACAUUUAUAUGUUUGUAACCAUCCUGCCAGGGAACCACUGAUGGAAAUUAGUCUAUGGCGACACUCUGGCACAUUUACAUACCUAUGUUCAUGUGCAUUGUCCCUUGUAAUUAAUGAAACAGAGUUAAAAAUGCAGCUUUAAUAGACUACAGCGGCCGCCCCUGGAUUGGGAGCGUUGAUGCGGUAUUAUCUAUUCUAUUUAAGAUGUGUUUUUAAAAUACUGUGAUUUAUGAUACAAUUAAAAACAUGCCUGUUUCUCAUGGAAAACCAGCCUGGAUUAUGUCCACCCACCCGAGCUCUCUUUAGCCUGCACAAUCCAACCCGAAACCAUCCAACUAGGUAUAAACUGUCCCAGUCUGCUGCUCCUGCUUCUUGAUCUGCUCAAUAUAUAUUGCACUUAUGCAUGGAUGCAUAUGAAUCUUUCUGAUGCUUGUAUUCAUUUAAACCUGAUGCAAGUCCUUCAGGAAGCAGAUAAACACUGAUUGCAAAAUGAUUUUAAGCCGUGAUGAUAUUUUUUUUCCCAAACCCUCAGGGUGGUCUGGUCCAAAUGUGUUCCGUUGCACCACUAAUUAAAACCAUUCACCCAUUAAUCUUGGGAAUAACCAGCAGACAUACUGUAUAAAUGAUGAAAAUAAUCAUUAAAUGCUAUCAUCCUGCAGGGGGUUGAUAAUUUUUCUUGCUUUUGCGGCCAAACUGUAGAGAACAACAGCAAACAUGCAUAAUCAGAUGAUGUAGCAUGUAUUAUCAUCAAUUUAUGAAUAUCAGGAGUAGCAUCUGUUGCUGCAGGAUGGUUUCAGAGUGUCAGGGUAAUUCUCAGAGGCAAACAGGCUGAAGAUUUAUGAACACGCACGCCGACUCUUAUGGUGUGACAAGGAGAGGGAUGACCCAAUGCAUAUCUGCUUCACUUUUAGUGCUUGAUAGAUGGAGCCGUCCAAACACGACUGUACCCUGCUUAAUCCUUAGCAAACACUCAGUGAACUUUAUAUACCUUCUCUAUUGACAGCGGUGACUUAUUGGAAAUGUCAAAAACGUCUCUGUCCCUUCUGUAACGCCUCAGCAGAGGUUUACAGCGACCUUUGGCUGCAGCUCGAUCAGACGAGGAGGAUUUAUGAGGCUGAAUGUCACUCAGAUUCUCAGGAUUUAUACCUGUCACAUUUGAGUCUCAUUUGUUUCUGUAAAGCAGCUUGUGUUAGCUGAGAUAACAGUCGAUAGAUCAAUAACUCGGGUCAUGUGUAAAGAUCAUGCAGUAAAAUGAGAUUGAUCUGUUUUGAUGUCUGCAGUGGAUUCAACACCAGACCCAUUGAUCACAGUUUAUGAUACAUAAGGAGCAUGAGUCAGGCCAUUAGUUCGUCUUACUCCUCCACAAAUUAAACUGCAGUUUACCUCCAACUGGCUGCAGGGCUUCGGUGUUUGCAUAAAUAUGUUUAAUUCAAUUUGCAUAAAAAAUAGAUAUGAAAUGAUAAAGGAAACAAAAGCUGGAGUAUACUUAGAAACAAAAAAUACUGCGACAUGUGGAUAAAUAAUGAUUCAAGAACUCAAAGAUGCUUCUUUAAAUGACAUGAUGUCAAACAAACCAAGCAGUAGACAGUAGUUUUUUUUUUUUUCCAGGUGCAACUUGUCUUGUCAACUUGUAUUUGCAAAUGCAAACCAAUACAGAGGGAUUGCCUUAGCAAAUGAAACUGCUUUUCUGCAUGCAUCCACGAUCACCAUAGAUUGUAAACACAAACUGUAGAUUGUAAACAACGUGGCAUUUAACCCAGUGUCCGGCGUACAAUCUGCCGUCGGCUACCCAAAUCUCAGUUUUUCUCUGUUUACAUGUAAACGUGCAAACGUGCUAGUUGUAGAAGUCCUAUAAACAGUGGGCUCUAUUUUCGUGCCUCGCCGGAGACGUGCCGCAGGCGCAGCGUAAGUCAGGUCCACCGCGCUGACAAGGCAUUCCCAAGCACAAUUUGGUAUUUUGGUGAGCAGCCCAGCGUAAGUAUCCCCCCGUCCCUAACUCAGCUCCUCCCAGCGGCAUAAGUUGUAGCAAGGGAGGAGAGAGGGCGUGGAGUGAGUUUAACACAGCCGAGACCUGUUUUCACCAAUCACAUCAGCUCCUCUCCUUGCCUUUAAAUCCGCCACAGGCGAGGUGUAUUACCAUUUUCGUGAAGUAGUCAACAAAGAGAUCAAGAGAUGUCUGGCCAAAGCAUCAUUUCCAGGGGCGAAUUCUUUGUUUGUGUCUAAACAAAGGGUGCAAACAAUGGUUCAUGUCUCAGUUUUUAAAAAUAACCAGGGAGGUGUAAACGGGGCCUUGGUUACACAUGUGAAGACCCUUUGCACCUCAGCAGAGCUUUUCCAUCCUAAAAACUCUUUUCUGGGCCAUGAAGGUUACUUCAGGGACAUCUUUUGUAACCCAAUAUACCCUAGGAUUCUUCAACUAUUCAACUUCAAUUUCAAUCUAUUAAACUCCGACAACACACUGACAUUUGACGAUAAAAAUACUUUAUUUCCAAAAGGUAACGUUAGACACAUUAUCUGCACACUGAUCGCCUUUCAUCUGGAAAACUUUGUUGAGAGCGAGAUAAAAAGAGAGCAAGCCUCAGAUGUCAAACAUAAUAAUCACAAAGCCUGGAGUGUGAAUUUUGUUCAUUUACACCAAUUAAGUGCAAAGCUUCUAAAACAUGUCCAGCAGUCUUUUUUUUUUUUUUUUGCUGAGGCUGUUAUAAUCUCUAAAGGAACACAAGCCUGUAUGCAAAGAUGAGGUUGAUUUAACUACCACCAACAUGCAAACACCGCCUGACUGCAAACUCUCACUUUCCUGCUCACAGAGGACGUGGUUGAUUUUUUAAACUCGGCCUAAAAAGACGUGGCGACUGAAUUAUUCAUCGCUUAUGAAAUGUCAUUUAGGUGCAGCAGACUCUGAAGGAGAAUGUAGUUGCAUCUCUGCAUCAUGGAGCCACACUGUCAGAUUCUCAGAUACAGCAGCGGUCACAGCGAGCGAUGCAGAAAUGAUUAAUGCUCCACUGUAGACGCUGCAGCGGUCGUACCAGGAAGAGGAUGAUUAACAUGAUAUAGAUGCUUCCAGGAAGCUUUUACCUAGCUUAAAUUAUCUAUCUCCUGUGGAUUCAGUUUGACCAGAACCUUCACUCUGCAGAGGAAAUGAAUUUACAUGGACCUGAAUUGUUUUUGGUAUUAUUUUUGUACUUAUGAUGUCUUGGACGUAUCCUCCAAUGCAUUAUAUUUAAUUUAUCUAUAGACAAAAAAACAACAAAUGUUCUGUCAAUAAGGAGAAUGUCAGAACUGGACUGUUUUUAAAUUUAAUAAUAAAACACAAAAUUAGUCAAAUUCAUAUUAUUCGUCAAUUUAAAAUGAAGCGACCCAUUUCUUGUUAUUAUUUUCUAUGUGAUGAGCAGGUUACCAGAGCUUUCUGGUUGUUCAGUUUGUAGAAUUUGAUUUUUUUUGGCAUGUUUCUUUGAGUUUCUCUUGAUUCUUAUAAUCCCCAGUCAGUUUCAAUGAAAUCUAAAGUUAUUGAUUUCAUUUACUUAGUGUUCUGUGAUCAAUUCAGACCAGGUUAUGCACAUAUGAACUCCCUGUAACUGGACUGUGACAGUGCAUUUAAUGCGCAUAAUACCAUCCUUCAUAGAGUCGCUGUAAAAGAUCAUAUUUUUACACCCUUAAUUCUAAAAGAGUUAGGAUGCCAUGUAAAAUAUUGAUUAACUGGUGUCAUGAGUCAGAGUUAAACAAAAGAGAAAGGACCCAAAUGCAGACAGAAAAUGAUUAAUUUAAAAAGAACUAAAUGGAAAAAAAAAAAAAAGGACAAAAGUCAAACAAAUGACGCUGGUAAAAAAAACACCAGGAGAGUGGGCAAUUUUUUUAAAUUGCCAAAAGGGGACUUGGAACUUUAAGUGAGAUCUACCUGUCUAACACAGGACCUCCAUCUAUUGCAGUGCAGCUGUCUGAACACAUUCAGACUUCUGAUGAGAGCUUGUUUACACCGAUUUUCUUUGUUCUUUUCAAGAAUGGCUGAUUUAACCAAGAUGUUAUAAUUAUUAAAAUAUUUCUCUCUUUUAGUUUUGUUUAGUUAAUUGUUUAUUUAAAUGGGACAGUGUACAUUCAUGGGCAUGUUCACAAUACAGAGUACUGUCAUCUUGAUUGCCAGAAAUACAAUAUAGUAUACAACAGGAUAUAAAUACUAGGUAUAGUGCUGGUAAAAAUAGGAAUUAGCUGAAAAGAGCAGCAAACGUGGGGCCCUAAUAGCUAAUAGCAGUUUGUUCCAGCAUGCACAGCUCUUGAUGGACCAGGUAUUUUGUGCCAGAACUUCUUUUCUAAAUUUUAAAUUUCAAGAUUCCCUUUCUUCGUAACAGUUUCACAAUAUACUUUUAAACAGUCAGAUUUUCACCAUUAUAAAGAAGUUCUUUGUGAUACUGUAAGUAAAUACUGAGUCCCCACCUUGUCUGAACAAUAUGACAAACGGUGCCCUGUUGAAUGGUAUAGAGCGAUGCUCACACUCCCAGAGUGUAACUGACAUUCCUUGAUAAAUAUUUCCCCAGAGCCUUUAGCGUCCCAGAGUAUCAUCAUAAGUAACACAAAGCUUCUAUAUUUUCAUUUGAAUCCGCUCCUAAAAAAACUCCUAAAAAUAGCAUAACAGAGGUUCCCUGUUGGCUGAGAAAUAAUAAGUUCCCUCUUAGAUAGCAUGGAGUGACUGCAACACUGAUGAAAUGCAUGCCAUGAUUGUAUCUUUGACUUGUUUUAAGUUUUAGGAGUUCUUUAGGAGCAGAUACAAAUGAAAAUAUUAAAGCUUUGUGUUACUUAUAAUGAUACACUGGGACCAAAUCAUACACUGGGACCACAACUCUCUCACACACACUCACACAAUGAACCAACCAGAACAGAGGGGAAGACAGGGACUAUGUACACAUAAGAUAACGAGCACUAACGAGCAACAGGUGAGGCAGACGAGGCACAGGUGAAACUUGAUUAACGAAGGAGGGAAAACUAGGGAAGUAAAACCAGACUUUUCAGUUUUAACACUCUAAGUAUUGUCUUUGCACAAUUUUUUUUAACUAAAUGUAGGGAUUAAACUAUAAAAUUCUGUUUGAACAUGUUUCACAGCAUCCUGAUUUUUUUUUUUUUUAUCAAGGUUGUCAGUAAGUUUGAGUAAAAUAUCAAAAUAAUAAUAAUAAUAAGGCCAGUUUAGUUGCCUGCAUUUGAUCAUUUUACCCUUUUACUGCAUGUAAUCAAACAUACUAACAACACAACAAACAAACAUAAGUCACAAUGACAGGAGAUAUAAGCAGUUAAUGAUGAUACUUUACAUAAAUCUAAAUGCCAAUAUCAUGCUGUUACACUUUUAUUUUUCCGUACCUGACAAAAACACAAUGAUCUGAUCUACAAAAACACAACAGGAUGGUGUGGUAGAAUAAAGUCAGGAGCUUGAAGGCUCUAGCUGUCAUAAUCCUCAUUUUAAAUCAGUUGAAGUCCAAAUCUGUAAAAACCAGCCCGCCUUUUAAAAGCAGCCAAUCAAAGAGCUCCAUGAAACCAGCUCUGCCCCGACAGGUGACCCUGCUUUCAGGGGACAGUGACAGUCAGGUAAAUAGUUGUUGGAGCCCCUAACAGACAUGCUCUGAAUGUGUUUUGUGUUUGGAUGAGGGGGAUACUGCUGCUGCUGCUGCUGGAGGCAUCCUCACUCCAUAUGCAGAGGGGUCAGUCUCAAUCUGAGGGGAAGCAGGAGAAAAAAAGAAAACUCUGUUCAAUCUUUCCCACUAAAUUACCUUGGCAGAUAUCAAACAGAGUCCUUCACUCCUGCUGAAUGAUAAUUGUAGCUCUCUGCCAGGACCAAUACUCGAGGGUCAUCUGUGGCAGAGAGGCUGGAUGGCGUGAAGAAAUUACCGCUGCCUCUCUCUCCUCUAUUUUCUGCUUUGCUUUUUUAAACAGGCAGCCUGGGAGGCUGCUCAAUAACGAUCAUAAAUUCCUAACUUAAGCAGAUAAAGACUUGGAUGUGUGGUGCUAAAAUGAUAAGCGUACUAAAAUAUGUCACAACACAUCAUGAUAAACUCAUAAUAUGUCAAGAAUGAUGUUUUUGGAGCAUCUGUUUGGUCACUGGGGCUCAGACCACCGGGAAAAUGAAGGAACCAGGCAGACAACCAUUGAUUAUACUAGGUUGUUGGUUAGCACCUAUGGUUCUUGUUUUUCUAUGUGUCCUGAAGGGCUGGCCCUUUUCUUCAAAUGAAUCUGCACUGUAGCCUGUAAAAUAGAGGAAUCGUUCCAGUCAGCUGUUACUUUAGUGAAUUCAUGCAGAAGAGCAGAGACAGAAGAGAUGUUGGUAGGUGAAUAGCUUGACCUGUGGCAACACUGGAGCUUUCUGUGCCUCUCUAUAUGAGAUAUUUCUAUCUUUCCAAAGACCUUCAACACAGCUGAUCAUUUGCUUCCUUUAACAGAGGGUAACUAGUGCAGGGCAAAAUGGUUUGAGAAUUAAGAUGUGCCCAAGCUGAAGGUUUAUAAUCUAGCAAAAUGGUGUCCAACCUAGAUUUUUAUUUAAGGUCUUUCUGAUCUUUAAAACUGUCGGCAGGUUGAACAUUGGUCUCAUGGACAAAUUCCUCAUACUAACUCUGUUUUUGGUGAAAGAGCUUUCAAUGUUUUAAAUUCGCCAUUCUGCUCUGAAGUACUAGAUCACCAAAGAGUGGAUUGUUUUCCAGAAAAGCUACUCAUUAUUGUCAGUCGUCCAUCUUGUUUCUAGUAUAAAACUUAUCAUGCUGAUAUCUUUGACAGAACAUUCACAGAAAAUAAUAGUAAUAUCAUAUUACUAAUAAAAUUAAGUUUAUAUGACUGAAUAAAUACAAAAGUAGUUGUGCUUGUGUUUUGAAAUAGGUCUGUGAAGGCUACACAUCAAAUUAAAAAAAAAAUCCCAGGCCUUACAUUCAUUUUUUUUGUUUGGUCUAUUCUAUGAGUGGGCAUUUAAAGACAGUCCCUUGAUCAAUUAAUCAUAUAAAUUAAUGAUCAAUCAUCGAUUUGAUAUAAUUUUUUUGUGCAAAUGGCAGAAAAUACGCAAAAAAAACCAGGUUUUUCCUCAUUGAAACACACCCCUUACAUUCUCUUUUUUUUUUUUUGUCUGUUUUAGGAAUGGAUAUUUUAAGACAGUCCCUUGAUCGAUUAAUCAUAUAAAUUAAUGAUCAGUCAUUGUUUAGGUAAUUUUUUUCAAAUUUUUGUGUGCGAAAUACACUCCCACCCCACCUCCCAACUGUGCGCUACAUAAACACUCUCAGUUGCUACCUGCCCGGCUAUCCUAAUAACCGUUUUUUCCUCUUAUUCAUGAAACACUAAAAUCAGGGACAUUUCCAGGGACAACUUUAGUUGAGGACAGGUUAUCUAAAACGGGGACUGUCCUCCGAGAUCCGGGAUGUCUGGUCACCCUACAGUUCCUCCUUGCUAGCAAGGAGCCAAGUGUAGAGUGAAACUGAGAGCACUCAGAUGAUUAAUUAACCUCUGUGGGAUAUAUGUGGUUCAAAUGGCACAUCAUUGGGGUCGUUGUCGUGUUUUACUUGUACAUUGCAUUGCCGUGUUUGCAGCAAACCUCAUUUUUCUGCUCAAAAUGGUCCCGUUUUUUGCUUUUAUUUUUUAUAUCCUCGACUUCUACAGAAGCUUGCUGACACUGUAUCACUCCCCUUGUAAAAUAUCAAAACCAUUCUGCGCAAUGAUAGUCACGUGUAUGUGAAGAACAUGUGCUGAUUGGUCGAUGGCUGUAGUUUGACUUUAACUUCUUCACCAAGUCUUGUGAGUCAGUUUUGCAUCGACAUCUUGUGAGAUGUGAAAUUUCAUUGUCAUUUGUAGAGGUGUGUCCUGAGCAGACAUACCAACUAGACUUUGGAUAAGGAGCCAAAAAGUAAUUAAAAGAUUGUAGGUUUUUGGGCUCUUCUCAUUAGAUUCUCCAAAAAGACUCUCUAACUUAAUCUGUAAUACCACAGGUUGUCAAACACUCAUUAUGGGAUGUUCUUUGACUAAUAUUUGCCAUCAUUUGUCACCACAUUUAUGACUGCUGUCCUUCGUUUUUAGGGUUGAACUUUUUCAAAGUGCAAACAGGAGGCUUUUUAACCAGCUGUCAGAUCUGACUCUGAGGACGGGGUAUUUUUAGUCCCUGUCAAACCCUCAGCUACGUACCAUGGGGGAAUUUUGAGUGGAUCUGAAAGGGAAGAGCUAAAAGAUAGUGACAUUUUUAAAAUAACAGUAGCUGGCGAUGAGUUGACGUCCAGACAGGCAGUCUUUAAAUAAUAAUUAAGGAGAAACUCCUGUGAUGGUUCAUACAAAGUCCUUCCGAUCCUCAAAUGAUCCCACAAACCUGAGCAUAGAAGCCUGUCAGGACGUCACAGAGUCAGCCAGCUCCUCGUCCUUGUGAUCCUGAUUUGCAUGCCACUCACGCCUCUUAGAUUUCACUUUCUCCCAUAUUUAGCCAACUUUAAGUCAAGCGGACAGAAUGAAAAGGGACUCUCAUUCCAGCGGUAUAAUAGGAAGAGACCUUUUCUAAAUGGCAAAAUGAAUCCACCAUCGACCUGCCGCACAUUACCGCUCACAUAUUCAGUCCUGUAACGAAGCCUGAAACCAAACGUCCAUACCUGUUACAGACGCAAUUUAUACACAUCAGUUGUUUGGGGCGGCCGGUCGAUAGAGAGCUCAGGAUCACCUUGUGACAUGUAAAUGAGGGUCCUCCAGUGUCACAAGACAGGCAUGGCUAAAUGAGCCUUAUGAUUUUCCAUCACCGCCCACCUGACUCUGACAGUCCCUAUAGAGAGCUCACGGCCACUGCAGCUGAAAACUCAUUAAGCAUCCGCGGAGACCGAUGCACUAUUGAUGUUACAUCUAUAAGGCUGUCUUUGUCUGGUUUCCAAGGAGAAAGUGCCGCUCUAUAUUUCUUUAGUUUUAAAAAUUCAUGCAUGCAACAGCUCUGUUUGACUGAUAUUUAUUUUUGGAGGUGGGAAACGUGCUUUUAUAGUUUUUUGAACAACUCUCAGGUCUGCAUAUGAGUAUAUCUAGCACGUUUUUUUUCUGGUUUGAAGGCAUUUUGCUGACUUCUGUAAAACCAUGUCAGCAUUCAACAGGAGAACUGUCAAAGUUAGACCUUUCCAAAGAGAUCAACAUGCUCUACCUUACUUUUUUAUGCAAGAGCAUUGGAGGUUAAAAUGCAACUACAAUGUGGAUUAGUUAUUUGUUUUAAGAAAACAACCAAAAAUUCACCCUAGAUAACCAGGUUAACAAGUCCAAGUUGUCCCAAAUUGGUUGAAUCUGUGCCAAUUUGAAUACUUGCAUAGAGAACAGUCAGUAUUGGCCCUGUAUUAUUUUCCCAUGCUGGUUCAUGAAUGACCUAUGACGGGCUUGAUUCAGGGUUCCUAUGGGUGGUUUGGACUCCCAGAAAAUUCAUAUCUGCUGUCUAAAGGGUUAUCAAAGUUUGUCUAUGUUGAAGGUACUUAUCUAAAAGUCCUUACACACCAGGAAUGACGCAAAAUUACGAAAUAUUCGGAGGAGAAUUUUAACGCGCCUGACUAUACACAACUAGUGCAUAAGGUAACAACCGAGACCUAAUGGUGCCGUGACAGCAACACGAUUGAGUUUGAAACAGUGAAAAUACAUAUGGAAUGUUGUAUCUGAACAGGUUAGCUUACGAGCUAAAGUUACUUAGCACAGAUGAAAGUUAAAACAAAGUCGUUUAGCAAACUCAUAAAUCACACAAACCAUCGUCAUAUGAGAAAUCCGACACUAUGACUCUCCAAAGUUGUCCUUCAGGUCGUUAUUUUUGUAAUAUUUGUGUCUUUUAUCAAAAAGCACUCUGUUCUCUGACACGUAAACAAUUAGCUGGUUGGCCAUGUUGGAUAUACCAGUGAAUCUGACGUCGCAACAACACAAAAUCUGAUUGGUCAGAAGUGGACACACAGUUUGCGAAACUUUAGAAAAUUCGACAGUGAUAUGAAAAAAUAAAUGCCGCAAUAUCGCAGGACGGAGAAAACAUUGCUGAUGUGAACGCUUGUAUUAACAGGACACGGGUUCAAAAAAAAAAUUGACAUCUGAAAUAAUCGCACGAAGAAAACGCUCUUGUUGGACCUUUUAGAUGGGAAAUAACCUACCUUAUAGCUAAAUGACGGAAAAAUGCAUCACCACCACCUUUACUUUCACUGCCUGAAACACAAACCACAGCUUUUGCACCAACGUAAACAACUUAAAAGAGACAGAUAUUGUCUAAUUAGCGAGGCAUGCACUAGAUGCUCUACAACCUGCACCGCAAAACAAAUUGCAUCCCUGUGCGUCAGUGUUGUUUGCAUCCACUGUGCAUUCACCUGGAGCAAAAUAUGCAACUUUCUAUGCAAAGAAGCUUCAUUGUAAAAUAAAAAUCAAUCAUCUAGUCAAUACUUCUAAUUCACAAAUACUGUUGCUAACAGUUUGACUGAAAUAGUUCACCUCUUUAUCAGCACUGGCAUAAACAUGGUAAUCUUCAAAACACACCUGAGACAGGUUUCCAUGAUUUUCUUUGUGUUAAUGUUAAGUUCUCUGUAAUGGAAAAGAAAACUGCAGAAUUAGUCUGUUCUGGGAGUCACACUGCAACAUUUCCAUUUGAAUUACUGAGAUAUAUUCUGCAAAAAAGGAAAAAAAUAAUAAAUGAAACACAAAUCACAAAAUAACAGCAAUUUCCCUCUGAUUAUACAAACAUAUGCUUUCUUCUAUAAUUCUAUUUCUGUGUAAUAUUUUCAGUCGAACACAACUGUAGCCCGAGUCGCUAUACAUCAUAAUCAUCUCCAGCCGGAAACAGAUGUAGAGCAUCGUCUGCCAGGCUAUCAUUUAUUCUAUGCAUUUCAAAAGAAAUGACUUUUCAAGUGCUUUAAAGCAGGCUGUCCGAACCCAUCUGGCACAACAGCAGCAUAAUGACAACUUUGUCUUACUGUGUAAUUCAGCGUGUGGAUCAUCAGAGAGCAACACAACAGUCAUCAUCAUUACAGACGCCGCUGUGCAUUCGGGAAAUUUUUUUCUAAUUGUAAAUGCACAGCCAUUAACAUCCUGGAGUGAGGGCCCCCUGACUUUAUUCAUUAUGUAGAUUGGUUCAGACCAAAGUUAAUUAGUCAGGCUUCACUAUAGAGGCUAUACACUAUACAUUAUACAUAUGUUUCUGAGUCAAAACGGGCGCACAGGCUUUGCAUUCUUAAAGACAGGAGGAUCAGUAUGAUCACUUUCAGUGAGUGGGAACAGACGUGGUAAUGAGCAGCCAGCAGCUUUCGCAAAUUGGCUAUAAAAUAUGUCAGUCUUUUUUAUGUAAGGGGGUCUGCUGUGUCCUAUUUUUGGUGUCAUGAUGCUCUAAAUGUUUUCACUAGGUUAUAAGUCAAGACUGCAGGCAGAAUGUCAAAUUUUCAUUCAUCAGUUUCCACUUCCUUUCAGUCUAUAUUAAACAGGCCAAGAGAAGUUACCAGCGUUUGCUUCAUUAUUUGCCAUCGAAAACUUUUUGUCGACAUUUACCACGGAAUUGAAAUUGUAUAAAAAAUUGUAGAGUGAGUCUUUUUAGUCUUAUACAUCAGCACUUUGCAUCAUGGGGGGUUACCAUCUUCUUAAUCCCUAAAAAGAGGACACGACCAAGUGGGGUGGAGUCACAGAGUUGUGUUUCGUAAAUAUUGAGGGUUAAGGUCCUUACACUACGGGAGCGUUUUUUUCAUGCGAUUAUUACGGACGUCAAUAUUUUUUUUCAAACCCGUAUCCUGUCAAUACAAGCGUUCACAUCAGCGAUGUUUUCCUGUCCUGCGAUAUUGCGGCAUUUAUUUAUUUGUAUCACGGUUGAAUUUUCUAAAGUUUUGCGUACUGUGUGUCCAUUUUUGACCAAUCAGAUUGCGUGUUGUUGUGACGUCAGAUUCACCGGUAUAUCCAACAUGGCCAACUGGCUGAUUGUUUAUGUGUCGGACAACAGAGUGCUUUUUGAUGAAAAACACAAAUGAAGGACAACUUGUGGAGAGUCAUAGCGUCAGAUUUCUCAUAUGACGAUGGUUUGUGUGCUUUAGCAGUUUGCUAAACGUCUUUGUUUUAACUUUCAUCUGUGUUAAGUACUUUAGCUCGUAAGCUAACCUGUUCAGAUACAACAUACCAUAUGUAUUUUCACUGUCUCAAACUCAAUGCGUUGCUGUCACAGCACCAUUGGGUCUCGGUUGUUACCUUACGUUUAUGGAUUAUAGUUUAAUGUGCUUAUCUGGUACUGGAGGACAUACUGUACGUUCACCCUACAUUAUGAUUACGAAGGGUGUCACUGUGAAUGUUAAAUGGAUAGUCACCAUCUGGUCACAGGGAACUGUUGUUUACAGAACCUGGUCUAAAUUGAUUUAUAAAUAAACAACAUAGUAAGUCCCUGUGUCCAUGAUUUGUAUAAACAGUGUCAAACUGCUCACAGGACAGUUGUCCUCUUCCCCUAAAUCCACUUUAAAUGGGCUCAGAAGUCUGUGGUGUUUCUGGAUUAGGUGUUCUAUCUGGUUUCCUCUUUCGUGGUUCAGUUUUAACCUCAUAUGUGGAUUCAGUGAUGAACUGUGUGGCAAGGCGCAGGGUUGAACAACAUAAAAAAAAGGACCCAAAAAUGCAGAUUAAAAAUGAUUUAUUAAAAGAACUAAAUGAAAAGCAACAACAACUAUCCUCUUAAUGUCUAACUGAGAAAUCCCAAAGGCAAAAUCAAACAAAAAGCACUGGGAAAAAAAACACAAAAAAAAAACACAAGAAGACUAAGAUUCACACAUAGAGGAACAGGGUGAACUGGCAGACAUAACAAGCACACACACAAUGAACCAACAAAGACAGAGGGUAGGACAGGGACUGUAUACACAGGCUGGGAAACGAGCAACAGGUGAGGCAGAUGAGCAACAGGUGAGGCUAACGAGACACAGGUGAAACUCAUGACUGAUUAACGAGGGGGGGAAAACUAGGGAAGUAAAACCAGACUAGAAACACAAAUACACAAAAUGCACUCAAAUAAAACCAGGAGAAAACUAAAUAAAGAGAAAAUAUAACAUUGGCCCUCAUUUAUCAAACUUGCGUACGGCAGAAAACUUGAGUACACCUUGCGUACGACAAUUUUGACGCUAGGAUCAGCAUUUAUCCAUCUGCAUGUGAGUGUAAGCUACGACCAAAAAUUUACAUUCUGUGUAAUAAAUUUCUGAAGUUUGUCCACAGCUUCAUAGGGAUUGCUGGAGGAGGCAGGAUUUAUGACCUAUACUGCAGCCCAUCACCAGAGGGUGCUGUUCUCGGAGUGGCUUCACCCAGCAAGGAGGCAGACGGCGUCCAUUCUAUAUGGUUUUGACACUUUAUUUGUAUGUCUCUGCUUUAUUUUUUAACAAAAGCUCAACAUUUUACACAGUGUCUCGACUCUUACAGAACUGGGUUUGUAAAAAAAAAACAAAAAAAACAGUAUAUUGACAAAUUAAAGUUAGUGUUAUUGAGAAGGGAAAUCUGUAUCUUUGUUGCAUCAACUGAAUUAGAUUGAGGUAUUUUUGCUGCCAGUGUUAGGAGCAGGGAUUAACAGACUGUACAAACAUGUAAAUGAAUGAUUCAGUCUCGGUAAAUAUUCCAUAUAGGAUAAGUUUACACUGCUCUGUGUGCAUGCAGGUGUUUGAACAGCGGCUUUAAAACAACUCCACUUCCACGGAAAUAAUCCCUCAAAUAAACACCCACCUCUUAGACAAACAGUCCAGAACAAUAGAUGCUUUAUCGUGUGAAAUGAUCAGGGGCAGUGGAUUUAAGUUUCUGUGACAGAGAGAGAAAAUCUCAACAAAUAAGCCUUCAAAACACUGUGUCUGUUCAGAUUACCUCCAGCCCGAGCAGCACAUCUGUUCUUGAUCCGAUCAAUUCGAUUUCUAAUUAGAUCUGAGGUGAGGAUCACGCAGGUAAAUCUCUUAACACCUGGCCAAUAUCAAGUGGCACAAAACCAGGCGAGGGAAGACUUGAUCUCCCCUCUUUCAGUCUGCAGCGUGGGACGUUCAGCAGCCUUGGUUUCAUUAGAUUGCUUAGAAAAGACGACCUGAUCAUCAAUAAAACAUGGAGUUAAUGCUUCCUUUAGAGAAUGGAUGAGGGAAACUAGGCCAAUCCAUGUUCCCGUCGCUCUAACUUUAAAGAUCUUUAAUUCAAAAGCAGAACACACCUCUCUCUCUUUCUGCUACAGAAUUUAUUUCACACUCAGACCGACUGGUUUCUGAUUCCUCUCCGAGUCACUGUUUGCUUUCAUCCACACUUCCUCGCCAUUUCCCCGAGGUCCCCCUCUCUCUUUCACACCCAUAAAAUAUUGAUCUUUAAAUAUUUAUCCUGCAAACAUCCACAGGACCUGACCCGUAUUCCCAGUACAAGUGAAAUAUUCACCUUUUGCUAAAUAAUUGAUAGCUGCAUCUGUGUUUCAGCACCUCGCUGAACUUUGGAGCUUGUUUUACUGAAAGAUGGAGCGUGUGCAGUUCUUCGACAGAGCCGAGAAAGAGCUUUAAUUGGACUCUCCGCGGGGAGACUUGGAGUGGGGGGUUGGGUGCUGGUUGGAGGAGUAAAAUAGGGUUAUAAAGAGGUUAGCAUGUUGACCUCUAAGAUGUUGAUGUGGUUGUUUUUUAGGGCGGUUAGACAGCGUGGUAAUGGGAUAAAGCUGAUGCUGAGCAUGGGGGUUUGCGCUGACUUGUGACCCCCGCCCUCCCUCGCCCACUGGAACUCAUAUUGAUCCACUAGCAGCUAGUUAAGCCAUGCUAAUUCCCCCUUGCUCUGCAGUUACAGCAAAGGUCAGAGUAGUGGCAGAUCCUGGUUAGAGCUUGAGGACCCAGAGGACUGAUACCUGGCCAGUGUUCACUUCUUCAUGUAACAGAGUGGAAGAACAUUGUAGCGCUUGAAUAAUUCACCUGCGCCUCAGGGGGGGAAAUGAGUACUCAAAUAUCUCGCUCAGGAGGAGCUGUUGUUGAAAAUUUAAUGCCAGUUUAGACCAACGAUUUGCAAUGAAACAAAACGGUUCAGAAAGUUUGGGGAGAGUGAACCGACCUGAACUGGACUCAGGUUGACUUACUUUUUUUUUACAGACUGGAUUCUGAACAUUUUACCAGUUUGAGGAGCUUGUCAAGUCAGCUGGAAGAGUUGGUUGGAGGAGUAGAUAGGGUUUUCGACAGAGGGGAUCCCCUUAUGUAUGAGUAAAAGGAAAUAUUGUGUCCACAUGACUCCAACCACGUCAACAAACCUAAGCUCUCAAUGCACAUGGAAUAAGAAGUAUCAUACAAAAUAAUUUCCUUGUCUUUGAGUCAGUCCCCAAGAGGACACAUGAGAUCUUCAGCCAAUGUCCCCUUAAAAACCAACAUGCUCUAAUGUUGGAUGAGGAGAUGCUAAUUCUAGAAGUCUAGAAGUGGAUUUCCUCCUAUGGAAGGACAAAAUCUACUGCUUAUAUGGUUAUGUGGCUGUCUUCAUAGAGGCAACUCGUUAUCACGCGAUUGCACGUGAAUUCACAGGGUCUUGUGAGUUCUCGCAAUUCCCUCUAUCUGAAUUCGCAAAGAAAUUUGCCUCACAAACGCAUCCAGUAGGAAGGGAGGAUGACGAAAAUUGGUAGCCUUUGUUUAUGAUCUCUUUUGUUUGGGUUUCUGCUUUUCAUGAUUUGUCUUGAGACUUCAUUGCACAUGUCAUCGCCUUCAUAGAGGCUGACGUGCUAAAUCACGCCAGGCUAUUUGAAAUUGAACCUAAGACCAGUGCAUGAUCACUGUAGCCUUCAUAGACAAGCUGCAUGCCCAAACUGUAGAACCAGUCCUUGGAUAGGAAGAGAAAUUGGGAUGGUCUAAUCAAAGUUUGCAGAAUAAAUUUGAUUAACAUUCUGUGCUGUUGCUGUUAACAUGAUUAAACCUUUCAAUGACCAAUAAUUGAAACUGUUUAAGAAGUUCACCAUUACUGACUUCAUUUAAGGUUAAAGGUCAUUUCACACCAGGACUAUUUUUGUCGUGCAAUUAUUUUGGACGUCAAUAUUUCUUUUUGAACCCAUAUCCUGUCAAUACAAGCGUUCACAUCAGUGAAGUUUUCCCAUUAUGCGAUAUUGCAGCGUUUAUUUUUUCGGAUCAUGGUUGAUUUUUGCAUAAAGUUUUGCAUACUGUGUGUCCACUUCUGACCAAUCAGACUGCGUGUUGUUGUGACAUCAGAUUAUAGUAUAUCCAACAUGGCCGACCAGCUGAUUGUUUACGUGUCGGAGAACAGAGUGAUUUUUGAUGAAAGACACAAAUAUUACAAAGAUAACGAUCUGAAGGACAACUUGUGGAGAGUCAUAGCGUCGGAUUUCUCAUAUGACGAUGGUUUGUGUGCUUUAACAGUUUGCUAAACAUCUUAGUUUUAAUUUUCAUCUGUGCUAAGUAACUUUAGCUCAUAAGCUAACCUGUUCAGAUACAACAUACCAUAUGUAUUUUCACUGUCUUAAACUCAAUUGCAUUCCUGUCACAGCACCAUUAGGUCUCGGUUGUUCUUUUACGUUUAUGGAUUAUAGUUUAAUGUGCUUAUCUGGUACUGGCCCCGACUCAGUACAUGCUAUCAUGACAGACAGUCAUCUCAACACUAGUGUCUAAUCAGAACUGAAAAACAGUCAGUCUGCUGUUGUGUCAGUCUUCUCACUUCCAUCCAGGAUGCGUCUUUUCCCCCCUGGAAAGUUGCAAAGUCGCAUCGGGCUUGACGUGUAUAGUCAGGCAUGUCAAAAUUCACCUUAGAAUAUUUCGUGAUUUCGCGUUCUAUAUCCACGUCGGCCCUGGUGUUUAAGGACCUUUACUUGCAUCCAAAUAUCCAGUAGUAAUGAUAAAAAGUAAACAGAAAGUUGUUUAUGCUGCACAUUGCAAGUGCUUUCGUUUAAACUGCUCUUCGUGCAAAUUUUCGGUCCUAAUCUGUUUAAAGUCUGAGACGAGUAAUAUUUAACCCUCAAUCCAGAAAAAGAACCAAACUUUCUGCAAGAGCACGCAAAAAAACAAUGGUCAAGUUUAAUGGAAUAAUUAGGAUAGUGCCAUAAAUUGUAUGAAACCUGAACCAACCUAACUUUUGGUAGGUUGAGGCAGAAUUGAAGCUGGCCUUUCUUCCUUGUAAGCUGUGAUAGUGUGCUUGCUUGUCAGUUAUCUCAGCCAUACUUCUUGUUCGGCCAAAUUUGUCACCUAAAUAUUUUCAGAACUCAAGAGUUAUAAUAAUGUAGGUCCUACAGUGUGUGCUGUAGCAAGAUGCCUAAAAAAUCUCCACAUGGAGGCUUCCAAAUCAGAUGGUACAACUCGUCUAAUUAAAUUUGUCUUUAUGCAUGACAUAAAAAAAGACUCCACCCUGAGAUCUGUAAGCAUCUAUGCAGCUUUGCUCUGUCACCACUGAUGAAAGGUUUUGUCAUGUUGGUAUCUUUAAUCAGAAACUGGAGUAAAUUCUUCAUUGCAGAUGACAUUUGGCUGUUUAAAGACAGUGCAUUGCAUGGGGUACAUUAACCAGACAGCUUAGAAGUUUAUUCAAAGCUUCCUGGACAGUUAAUUUAAGAAAUGACUGUAAACUAAAACAGCUUGCUUCAUCUGCUGCCAACAAAGUUUGUAAUUCUAACCACAGAGAGAUUUUUUCAGCUAAAUAUGACAAAUCUGCUUUUCUUAUCUGGUUAUUUGGGUCUUCUGAAAGGAAAGAAAAGGACUGAUGUGAGAUGUGUUGGUAUCUGAGCUGAGCAAUUGUGGGUAUUUUGCCAAAUGGAAACCAAAUAGUCAGGGUUUUUUCUUUUAUCUGUAAAGCCUAAUGAGGUUUAAAAGUUUGAGGGUUGAGUUUUGCUCUUGCUGUUUGCACUUAAUGUCAGCUUUCAGAUGCUUGGGCAGCAGCAGAGAAUAAAUAUUUAAGAGUAUUGAGACACCUCCAUUUAUCAAUUCAAACAAAACUCUUGGCAGGGCUCCUUUAGCCUCACGGUCACAGCGUUUGUUUGGCAACCUCCCCGAGUGACACAAAAAAUCUCCCACUCCCGGCCCCUGCUCAAAUUAGAAGACAUCUGCUGUAUAAAAACACACUCAGAUGUGACUUUUGGCAACAUCACAUGUACAAUCAGAGAAAAAUAAAAGUAGAAAAUCUUAAAAGAUGCACAUUAAACUUUUUGGGGAGUGUUUACAGACUGAAGAAGUCAAUUCUGGGGCCUGUUUUAUACCUGAAGUGAGAAUACGGCUAGUGCUGCUUAUAAAACAUGACAAACUACCACCGAACUGUUUUUCAUUUUCUUUAUCCCGUCUGACUUUGAGUUCCCUAUUGAAGGUCAAGAGGUGUGAAAGUGAAGUCUCCUCUCUACACUCCCCCUGAGUUAACCUACAUGCAUAUUACUGCUUAUUUAUAGCCCCUCUUAGAACCACUCGAGUGUGGACAAGAAAUAUAUUCCAUUACUGCUUCUUGUGCUCCUGUGCAUACCUCUCUUCUAUUAUGUGCCCCUGUGUGUGCAUACCCUUUGCUUUAUAUGUCUAAAGGCUGCUAAUGGAUAUACGAGCUGACAGAGCUGCUGUGGGCGUUAUGGUACAUGCAGAACCAGACAAGGUACACCUGCAGGCCUCCAAUCAACCCAAACCACUCUGAAAUUACACCAUUCUUCAAACUGGCUCUACUGAUUAAUACACAUGGGUGAAUGUGACCUCCACGGGAACUCCUUUGAAAAUUUCUAGAGGACCAUGCAGCUACUUCUGCAAGGUUAUCUGCAAAGACCAUAAAAUAUUAACAUUUUUACCAGCCCUGAUUUUUUGUAUAUGCAGAAUUUGAGUAUGCCAAGACCUCCAGAUUGUGGGUUCGUUCAGUAAGAGGAAAAACCAGAGUGUCAAAUGGAGGGUCACUGAUGCUGCUCUAUUCUUUAUCCAAGUGGGUCUUUGCUGCUGCUCUCCCUGCCUUUACCCCGGCCCCUCUUUCCCAUGCUAUGUCCAACUUUACCACUGUCAUAUUUCUGUUCUGUACCCCGGGGGGUCUUUGCAGCUGCUCUCCCUGCUUUGGCUUUUCAUAUAUAUUCAUUUGAGAUAAAGGGGAAGUGUGCUCUCCCUGCCUGGGCCUGUAGCACUCAUCAUGCACACAUCACCAUGUUUUUUUUUUUUCUUAUGUUUUUAUCUUUAUCAUUAUAUUAUUUAUCUGUUUAUUUGACUGCUGGUGAAUUCAAGGUUCACAUUAUACCAGAUUUUAUUUUAUUCCAGUACAGACUAUUUCUAUACAUACUAUAUUAAAACAGCUGAAACGCUCAUGGAUGAUACGAGAUUACUUAUGGAAACACCACUCUGGAUACCAAAACCCCAUCAACAUUCUACAUUUUUCAUCAUCGCAUUGAAUUUGAUUUUUACUGAUAGGCAUAACAGUCCAUAACACCAACAACCACAGGCUGAUAAUUGUGACAGUGACCAGAAAUCCGAUUAUCAUAUAUUAAUCAUGGUUACUGCAAGAAUGUCGGCAAAUCAGUCAACAUUUACCUGUAAAUGAAAAUGAUCGGUUUCUCCGGCAUCUGUUCUUUACAGCUGCUUCACGCUGAAUGAAAAGCCUCAUCUUCAGUCAUUAAAUCCCAUCAGGCAUUUGAACGCAGAGGGACACAUAUGUUGAUAAAUCUGCCACAGCACUGUGGCAUUUUGUACGGUGGUCAACUGUGUUUACUUUGAUUACCAUAUAUGACGACAUGACAACAAUAUGCAGAUAUGAAUGAAGCAUAUACACCUCUGUGUACAUUAGAUUUAAUUAAAAUCUUUUUUUCAAUUUAGCUGAUAAAAAACUGCCAAAUGGUAAUAUACGUGAGAAAAUUAGAGUUAUAAAAGGUCCUAUAUAAAAAAGAAAAAAUAAUGAGAAUAAUUCUUACACAUACAUGUGCAGUUUAGUUUAGUCAUCUUCCAGUCUAGCAAUCUGAGUGAUGUGGAAGCUAUUAAGUUUCUGGAUUGUUUCUGCAGCCUGGGAAAACAGCUCCUACAAGUGGAUUUGAUUUGGCUCCCAUGGUGCAAAGUGAUUGGGCAUGCAUGCAAAACCACUACAACUUCCCACUCCUCAAACAUGUUCGAACCCUAACCCUAACCCUAACCUCACUAACAUGGUUUCGCUUUUGGCGUUGCAGGGUCAAGAUAGCAAAGAUAAAAGGUGUCAACCUUAAGGUCCUUACACACCAGGACCAACGCAAAUAUACGACGCGAAAUUACGAAAUAUUCGGAAGCGAAUUUUGACACGCCUGACUAUACACAUCAAGUGCAAUGUGAUUUUGUGACAUUCCGGGGGGGGGGGGGGGGGACACAUCCCGCGUGGAAGCAAGAAGACUGACACAACAGCAGACUGACUGUUUUUCAGUUCUGAUUAGACUCUAGUGUUGAGAUGUCUGUCUGUCAUGAUAGCAUUUACUGAGUCGGGGCCAGUACCAGAUAAGCACAUUAAACUAUAAUCCAUAAACAUAAGGUAACAACCGAGAACUAACGCCAUUGAGUUUGAGACAGUGAAAAUACAUAUGGUAUGUUGUAUCUGAACAGGUUAGCUUACGAGCUAAAGUUACUUAGCACAGAUGAAAGUUAAAACAAAGACGUUUAGCAAACUGUUGAAGCACACAAACCAUCAUCAUAUAAGAGAUUAAAUGCUAUGACUCUCCACAAGUUGUCCUUUAGGUCGUUAUCUUUGUGAUGUUUGUGUCUUUUAUCAAAAAGCACUCUGUUCUCCGACACGUAAACAAUCAGCCGGUCAGCCAUGUUGGAUAUACCAGUGAAUCUGAC